AUUGAACGCUGGCGGCAGGCCUAACACAUGCAAGUCGAGCGGCAGCGGGAGGAAGCUUGCUUCCUCGCCGGCGAGCGGCGGACGGGUGAGUAAUGUCUGGGAAACUGCCCGAUGGAGGGGGAUAACUACUGGAAACGGUAGCUAAUACCGCAUAACGUCUACGGACCAAAGUGGGGGACCUUCGGGCCUCACACCAUCGGAUGUGCCCAGAUGGGAUUAGCUGGUAGGUGGGGUAAUGGCUCACCUAGGCGACGAUCCCUAGCUGGUCUGAGAGGAUGACCAGCCACACUGGAACUGAGACACGGUCCAGACUCCUACGGGAGGCAGCAGUGGGGAAUAUUGCACAAUGGGCGCAAGCCUGAUGCAGCCAUGCCGCGUGUGUGAAGAAGGCCUUCGGGUUGUAAAGCACUUUCAGCGAGGAGGAAGGCGUUGUAGUUAAUAACUGCAGCGAUUGACGUUACUCGCAGAAGAAGCAAUGACGGUAUCUGGGGAAUAAGCAUCGGCUAACUCUGUGCCAGCCGCCGCAGUAAAAC
rnacentral:rRNA from 1 species